AUUGAACGCUGGCGGCAGGCCUAACACAUGCAAGUCGAGCGGAUGAAGGGAGCUUGCUCCUGGAUUCAGCGGCGGACGGGUGAGUAAUGCCUAGGAAUCUGCCUGGUAGUGGGGGAUAACGUCCGGAAACGGGCGCUAAUACCGCAUACGUCCUGAGGGAGAAAGUGGGGGAUCUUCGGACCUCACGCUAUCAGAUGAGCCUAGUUCGGAUUAGCUAGUUGGUGGGGUAAAGGCCUACCAAGGCGACGAUCCGUAACUGGUCUGAGAGGAUGAUCAGUCACACUGGAACUGAGACACGGUCCAGACUCCUACGGGAGGCAGCAGUGGGGAAUAUUGGACAAUGGGCGAAAGCCUGAUCCAGCCAUGCCGCGUGUGUGAAGAAGGUCUUCGGAUUGUAAAGCACUUUAAGUUGGGAGGAAGGGCAGUAAGUUAAUACCUUGCUGUUUUGACAUUACCAACAGAAUAAGCACCGGCUAACUUCGUG
rnacentral:rRNA from 1 species